UGACCUCAAAUGAUCCACCUGCCUCGGCCUCCCAAAGUGCUGGAAUUACAGGCAUGAGCCACCGCACCUGGGCUGCAAGGGGAUUUCUAAGGAGAAGGGGAGACGUGGCCACUGGCAACCACACCACCAUCAAGGUGGGGCCUCAUGAUCCACCUACGAGCAGGAGCAGGGCUCUGAGGCAGGGCACUGAGGCUGAAUAACACCUCUGUGUUGCAGGACAAUUUAUCAAAGGAAAAUGAGGGCAUCCAUUCAGUUUUCCUUGUCCCACCUUCAAAAAAGACCAGGAUUGUUGAAAUUAUUCCUCUAAAAUCUACAUUUUAAGAAGGAAGGUCAAGCUGGUGCUAAUGUAAUGUGUGCUAUAGCUAACAUAUUAUAGCUAACAUACCUGCUUUAGGUCAAGCUGGUGGUAGAGUUACAUUCUAUUUUUUACUUAUGGUAUGCUUUAUAGGAAAAUGGGACCCUUUGUAUGAUUAAUAUUGGUGAGACAAUGUCCAUUUUGUCAGAGACAUAAGGUAAAUUCUUAUCACAGUACACUGUUAUCAAGGUUAGAGGUUGUGAUAUCUUUGCUUUCUUGAUUUAUUAAGAAUUGUAUUUAUGAUUUAAUUAUUGCCAAGUCGAUGGUCAGGAAUGCUUCCUAACUUUGCCAUGGCGAUAUGGUUCUAGGGGAGAGGGAAGCCGAUUCAUGUUAUUUGUUCUGCUAAUUUAUAAACACACUGUCUGUUCUAGUUUCCUCUCACAAACCCUUUUGGAUCUGACAUCCAUGAAUUUAUUUAAGCAUUUAAAAAUCAUGACAUGUUUCCACCAUGAGCCAUCUACUUGCUAUGAGAAGGCAUGCUUUCUUUUAUUUAUCCUAAACGUGUAUUUUCUGAGCUUCCAGCAAAUUCUGCACCAUCCCCUUAGACUAGUCUGGAGUAGGACAUGCACAGUUCUUGACCACCACUAGCUGUGGCCAUCCUUGGCUAAUGCCACCUUUGUUUUGUGUAAAUGGCUUAUUUACUCUUCUCUGUUGGAUAUCAAAGCAACUUAACAGUGUAAGUAGCUUUUGCUAAAUGAAGACAUGAGUAAGCAGAGACUGUGGAAUAUACUGGUGCUACUUCAGUGGGAUUUUACAUGGUGAAACAAAGGGAGAAGUUGGUUCAGAAGUUUAGCCCUUGCUGCCUUGCCCAGUAUGUGAUUUUGUGCAAGAAGAUGAGCAAAACAAAGACAUGUUGCAGGCCGUGUUUUCUGGACGGUUGUUGAGUCAAGAAGGAUUCAGGUGAGAUACUGGGGCUCCUUAUUUGAGCCAGCAGAAGCAGCUUUUUAGUUCCCAAAUCAAAUGGCUGGUACAUAAAUGUAAGGCUCUUAUGCUUAUUUUGUGACCUGAAAGAUGGGGAGCAGGGAAGGAAGAACUAGGCGUGGUCUCAGAUGUUUGGGAUAAUUGGCAUCAUUUUCCUCCAUUAUCCAUGCUUCAUCUAGAAUGAGUUAAUUGAGCCUGAAGCCUUCCAAAUCUCCUGUUAAUUACCCUGAAGCAGGCAUGUUUGUCCCUUUCUUGGUCUAAAGCUGCAGGCAGAUAUCCGAGGUCUUUUAUCCUUGCCUAGCACCAAAGAGUGACCACAAAAUCUGCCUCAGGUUUCCGAAGGAGCCAGGUUCCACACUUGGCCCACCAGCCCCACUGCUCUGUGUGCGCCCAGCUCUCCACUUAACCACCUGAUCCUGUUGUGUGACUUAGAAGAACGUGACUUUUACAACUUGAAAGCUUAUUCCUGGACAGGAGUACUUGGUAGUGGAGAAUCAGAGGAACUAAGGACUUCAGCAUCACACCCAGUUUAAGCCUUUGCGCUUCAGCCAAGAAGACAGCAACGCUUGUCACGCUUGUCUCUCUGGCUUUUGGAUAAUAUACAUAACUGGUCCUUAUGGAGGGCUGACUUUGGCCAUGUGUGUACUCUUUUUAAUGAUCCCAACUGCCUGACAAUGUCUAUACACUGCAUGAAGGACCUCAUGCUCUAGGGAGGCAGGAUCCUUGCCUGGAGUUACACUUGGGGUGGCAGAAGUGGGACUCAUACUCAACCCUGACAUACCAUAGCACUGCUUGUUGAUUUGCAGACAUAUAAUUGAAUGUGCUGUUAAAGAAUGGUGAAAGUAGGAAUGUGUUUGCUCUAAAUUUCCCUGUGAACUUCCUUGUCUGCACCAGCUGGCUUGGUUUGAUCCUUUCCCCAGACUCUGAUGCUUCUGUAAAGACAGAGCACAUGCACAUGCUCAUGUCCUCUGGCCCAGGUAAGGCUUAUCCACAGAGAAGGGAGCAUUGUGCCCCCAGUGCCCGGGAGGUGGUAUAUUCCACAAAGAGGUGAGUGGAGUGGGGGCCUUGUUGUCAUUGAAUCUCAUGUAGUGGAGGGCCUUGGGGAGGUGACACAGGAAAAUGUGCUACUCUGUAUUGUCUUGGGAAGGGUUGAAUUUGAUUCUGUUGUUUCUGAGGAUGUGAGAAUAAAUCUUGAUGGCUUUCCUCUUUCUGCCUCUAAGCAUCCUUGUGUGUAUUGCUGGUUUUACCUGAUCAUUUUCACCAUCUUCCCCAUGGUUUUAGUGGUCAUUUUUCAUUUCUUCUCUUGUAAAUAAUCAGUUCAUGUUUUCUAGCACCAAUUCUAAGCCUAGAUUAGUAAUAAGAAAAGUUCCCUCUUUUUAAAAGAAGAUGUCUACUUUCUCUGCCCUCCUUAUUGCCCAGAAAACAGGCAUUGUGGAGACGUGGCCUUGAUUGUCCUUCUUCUUGUCUCUUCCACCAAUGUGGCUGACCUUUUUCUCCUCACUCUCCAUUAAUUAGCAGCAGUUUCCCUGUUCCUUGGCUCACAGUGGUACACCUGGGAGCCUUAGCACUCACUGAAAACCCCUUACUGCCUAACAAGAAUUGACCCAUGGUUGAAAACCCAUCUCAAGUGCUGCUGCCUCUAUGAAGCCCACCCUGAAUUACGUUCAACUGGACAUACUUCCUUAUUUAAACCCUUUGGCACUGAUAUUCUAUCUUUAAUCAUUAUUAUUAUUUUAGAACAUGUCACCUUCCCAUGUUUUCCAAGUCAUAAAAGUAGUACAUGUCCAUCACAGACAAAUGGGGAGUGCAGAAAAGCACAAAGAAUAAAACAGAGACAGCAGGGUUCAGGCUUCGAGUUGUGGUGCAAUUGGCCCACAUCCACCCCACCCUCUCUUCACGCAGCAGAUGACUGGGACAUAAAGAAGCUGAUGGGGCCACUGCCACCGAAUUUCCACCUGCAGCCCUUCUCGGGGGCCACCACCAUGCUCCUCAACAGCUGUCACUGACAGGACAGAGCUUGAGGAUCUUGAGGAGCUACUGACCCUGCAGAACCGCUCUGAGACCAGGGGGAGCUUUUCCAGUAGAAUGAAAGGAUUGCUUCUGCUUUAACCUCUGAUGCUUUAUCAAGGCCGAGCUGAGGGCUGCACUAUCGGGAGCUUGAUGAGGAAACUGAGGCACAGAGAGAUGAAGGAACUUGCCCAAGGUCACACAGCUGAGGAACCCAGGCACUCAGAUUCUGGGGCCUGCUCUCAUAACCACAAUGCUACAUCCCUGCCUCUAACAUCGGGACAACCAGGCCUUCCUCACAGGCAUUAUCGGGACUAUAAGAUAAGAUGCAUAAGGUUUUAUCUCCAGAGAGAAGGCAGCUAUGGUCCAAGGUCAAACACAGAGGCUACAACUAGAAACCUCUAGACCAAGUUUGGUCCAUGUGGUGUUCUCUAUAGAGUUUCUUUCUUUUUAAUUUGGAUUUUCAAUACUUUAAAAUUAAGAGCACACACAUAACAGUAUCCUUUUUCAGCUUCCUUAAACCAUAUCUGAACAUUUGGCCAAAGUAGAUCCCUGCUGGGGCAUGAAAUAAUCAGCUGAUGCCGUUUCCCUCGGUCCUCACCAUCCUCUCACGCCUUCCCCUCCUGAGGCUACCGUCAGAGGCCAUUUCUCAUCCUGCAUGCACUGUAGCAUUUCUGACACUAGGUACACUUCGCUCGCUAUCUGCCUGGCCUCUGUGGGCAUGAGGGUUUGUAGACAGAGCAAAACCAAGUAGUUUGUGGGGGUGCGUGCCUAUCAUUUCCAAAGGGAGCCACAGGUCGGUCAUUUGCUAUCUAUGAGAUUCAAAGCUCAGGGUCUUCUCAGAGAGUAAACUCACGAAGGUACGUAGGAAUAUCUUGCAGGCAUUUCUUUCCAGCAUGCCACAAACCAGUGGUCUCACAGGGCAUGAUGUUUUAGUGAGAGCUGGGGCUAAACAUAAUGUUUUCAGCUUUUUUUUCCUUGCAUUUUUUUUUUCUCAGCUCUGGUCUUCUUCUUGGCAUUUUUGACACAUACCACACGCUGGCCCAUCAUUUCCUUCUGGUUACCCAGGUGUUCCAAAAGAUCCCCCUCCAGUGAUACACUCCGUUCUCCAGGGCUCAGAUCUGAAAGUGUAGCUAUGUUACCUGGGAGAGAUGACAUGAACACACCAUUUUCCCAAGCAGGGCAACCAUCAAGGUUUACUCUGAUGGAUACCCUGACUGGUCAAUGGGCAGACAGGCCACCACCCCCUCCCCUCUGCUUUCUUCCUGAGAGGGUUCCUAACUUCUCUGAAGUCAAGUUGAGCGUCCACAUCUAAAGCCCCAGGAUGAGCCUCCUGGUGGAGGAGAGUGCUCCUGCCUCUCCUGCCUCUCUUUAUGGAUUGUAUGUCAAGGAGACACCCGCAAGGACUCUGGUGGCCUGGACAUACUUCUGGAAGACUGACUCUUCCAGACUGAUGAAACCAAAGCCCACAGCUAGCACCAACUUGCCAGCCAUGUGAGUGAAUCAUCGUGGAAAUGAUAUCUGCCAGCCCUGGCCAAAAUGCCCCAGCUGAUGCCACAUAAAGCAAAAAUUAGCAGUUGCCACCAAGCCCUGCCUAAAUUGCAAAAUCGUUGAGAUGUUUCCCAAAAUGCCUCACAAAUAUUCUGGGAUGUCACCUUUUGCAAUGGAUCUGCAGGUUCCAUCGUGCCCUAGCUUUUUGCCUGAGGGGAGGCUCUGGCCAUGGGUCCCUUUUCAGGUCAGCAAGAGUGCCGUGCAGAGCAGGAGCCCCAUCCAAUGCUCUACAGCUCUGGACUCCUGCCAAUCCUCCCUUGGCCAAGGCCUCCAGAAGUCAGAGAGCGAGGGAACAUAUGAACUAUCUAUCCUGGUCUACUGUCAAUCUCCUUCCACUGAAAUAUCAGCUCCACAAGGCUAGUGGUGUCAUGGAUUUGCUCACUGCUGUAGGUGCCUAGUGAAUAUUUGCUGGAAAUGGAAUACAUGGAUAGGCUUGGAGCUAACUAGAAAAAGCUUGAAAAGUUCUUUGGAAGUGGAAACCGUUUCAGAAGACCUGGAGUCUUUCUCAUCAUGGUAGUCUGCAGACCCAAUCAAUCUAUGAGAAACCCAGCAGUUCCACCUCACUGCUGCACACUGAUUCCAUUACCCAGGGCUUCUGGAGGUCUUCAUUCAUCAAGGCCUGUCUGCUCUCACUGAGUGCGCUACUUUACCCCAAUGUUAUCACAGACAACCAGGACUAUAUUAAACUUGUCAAAGUAAGAGUCUUUUAGAGGGAUGGAACAUCCUGAACUUUUUUUUCAAAUGGAGACAUUUUCCUGUUUCUUGAGUGUGUUAAGAGGGACAGGGGUCCCCCACCUUUAGUUUUUGGCCAUAACAGAAAAAAAAUUUUGAUAAAGAUCAGAUAUUAUUAUUACCAUUUAAAUAUUUACCUAUGAAAUUUAGUGAGUGGCAAUGAAACUUCUUGGCAUUUAAUUUUUUUGAUGUUCUGCCAUUGGGAACUUAUCUUUGCAACACUUUUUGUUAAGAGAUGUCAUGAUUCUGGGUUGGAGGAAGAUAGGAAUAUCUAAAAUGCUAUGUCAUGGUUCAAUUGUACAGAAAAAAAUAAGGUAAACAUGAAAAGAAAAUCCAUUUGACCAUGGUGUUUGUGGCUAUUUCCUUCUGGCAUCUCAAGGGUUGCGAUGUAAGGUACUUAAAUCAACAGCCAGUGGAUGACUUUUUCCUUCACACUCCAGAGUGAGUCUCUGCUCAGAAACUCUGACCACUCAAUCUGAAAUUCUCCUCGUCUGUUACUGUCUAAAUUCCUACCUUGCUUUAUUUUCCUUUGUGGUACUUAUCCCCACCUCAAGUUAUGUGUGUUCAUGUGUUUGCUGUCUGCCUCCCUACUAGAGUGUCAGCUCUACAGGGCAAAGAUAUCAGCUGUCUUCUUCAUUAUGCUGUAUCUCUAGUGGCUAGAACAGUGCCUGGCAGGUGGCAGCACUCAGUGAGUAACUGUUGAAUAAAUAAAUAAAUAAGUCAAUAAGUGGA
rnacentral:lncRNA from 1 species